AUACUUACCUGGCAGGGCAGAUACCCUGAUCACAAGGGUGGUGUUCCCAGGGCGAGGCUUAUCCAUUGUGAUCCGGAUAUGCUCACCCCUGCGAUUUCCCAAAUGUGGGAAACUCAACUGCAUAGUUUGUGGUAGUGGGGGUCUGUAUUCGUGCUUUCCCCUU
ensembl:snRNA U1 U1 spliceosomal RNA